AGGGGCUUAGGCUAGUACAAGACCGAGGGCCUUCAAAGCCCUAAGCAUGAGUGAAAAUCUCUUAGCCCCUG
rnacentral:tRNA from 1 species